GACGAACGCUGGCGGCGUGCUUAACACAUGCAAGUCGAACGGAAAGGCCCUGCUUUUGUGGGGUGCUCGAGUGGCGAACGGGUGAGUAACACGUGAGUAACCUGCCCUUGACUUUGGGAUAACUUCAGGAAACUGGGGCUAAUACCGGAUAGGAGCUCCUGCUGCAUGGUGGGGGUUGGAAAGUUUCGGCGGUUGGGGAUGGACUCGCGGCUUAUCAGCUUGUUGGUGGGGUAGUGGCUUACCAAGGCUUUGACGGGUAGCCGGCCUGAGAGGGUGACCGGCAACAUUGGGACUGAGAUACGGCCCAGACUCCUACGGGGGGCAGGAGUGGGGAAUAUUGCACAAUGGGCGGAAGCCGGAUGCAGCACCGCCGCGUGCGGGAUGACGGCCUUCGGGUAGUAAACCGCUUUCGCCUGUGACGAAGCGUGAGUGACGGUAAUGGGUAAAGAAGCACCGGCUAACUACGU
rnacentral:rRNA from 1 species